UAAAUGAUCUACGGGAAAAAAGUAACGGCCGAGCAUGUGGUAAAAAGAUGAUUCUCUCGCAAGUUGCAAGAGGAGAACAAGAAUAGAAGUACAAUUUAGAGCGAGAAGCGAGGGUCCCAGGGUCAUCCAAGAGGGUUUCGUUUUAUGAUCUUUCUUCAACCGGCAGGAGCCAUACACGAUCAGGAGUGGAAGGAUCAAUGGAUAAAAAAAAUAAAGAAAGUCAAUGAUGAUAAAGAAGGAAAGAAGAUUGGAGUUAAGAAAUGGAAGCUUGCUAAGAACGAAUAGCUGUGCCAAAUUAACCAUGAUUUAUAGAGAUGGCCAAUAUUCCAUUCUAUUAACAUCGCAUUAUCCUUCCGUCAAAUUACAUAUCGACGACCCGGUUUUUUCAGAAGCCGAUCCUGGCACAAAGUGUACAGGUAUCCAAUAUAGUACGAUCGAUCACCGAUUAUAGCUCGGGAUAGGCAUGGUGUACAAUGUUGCACUCUAUUGGUUGGUUACAUAUCGCAACAUUAUACGUAUAUGCGGCCGGGGCAUCAAGUUGCAGGCUGCAAUGUGUAUACGCGUUUAAUUAAUUCGCCUGUACACGCGCCAUAUGAAUCUCAUUCCCGUGUAGUUCGAUGAAUUUCCCAAAUGAACUACAGAUUAAGAUCAAGGAUGAUAUGGAUGAUGUAAUAACAACAAGUCAAUUUUGAACAAUUUUAAUUGAGACAAUUUAACAUGCAUUUAUGACCAAAAUCGAUUUCACUCACGUUAAUUAUCGAGGGAAUUAUCG